CAGAUAGUGUGGCCAAUGCGGACACCCUGGACUAAGGGAGGACUCACAUUCCGGUGGGACAGAGCAGGAUGGCUCAGGAUUUCAUCACACUACUCAGAACAGUAUGCAAUUUAAAAGGGAGAAACCGAGGCUCCCAGAGGUUAAAAACCUGCCCAAGAUCACACAGGUAAGCAAGUGGCUGAGUCGGGGCUCCGACCCGGGCCCUGAAGCCCCAUCUCAGCUGCUGUGGAUAUUGCCUGCUGCAAGCUCACUGUGUCAGCACCCACCAAAGAUAUACGCCGUGGAAGGGCCCAGUGAGAAAGCAGUGACCAUGUUUUGGAUUUCUCUCCAGUUCAAAUUGACCUGGACGUCUUAUAUUUUAUCUGCUUUGUCUCUGGCCACGCUGCUGGGCAGGCUCGACCGCACACACCUGCGGAACUCUGGGUCUCCGCCGUACGAGUGGCAUAGACGCCAUCCUCAAUGCAGAUCCCCAUCAAACCUGGAGAAAAAUAAAAUAAGGCCUCCCAGGCUCAGGCCAGCCCCUGUCGCGCCCCAGAGGUGGGCCUGCCCCUCUCCAGACCUCCAGGCUCUUCCUGCC